GCGUUAGUUCCGUGCUUCCUUACUUCCCAUAGUACUUAGAUAUCGUAUGGAAUGUAAAGAAGUAUGGAGCUGCGCG
rnacentral:pre_miRNA from 1 species